GCUGCCACCGGAGCUGUCGGCCUUGCUCAUGCUAUAGGACUGUGUAGUUCAUUGUUUAGUAGCCUAGUGUUAUUUAAAGAAGCUGGUCCAUCCAAUUGGUCCAUCCAUGGGCCGAAGUUUCAAAAUUAUCAUGUUAUUAUUAUCAAGCAAAGCUGUCUAACGGAGAGAUAUGGAAUACAAACCAAGAGCCUGCAGACAAUGUUGUGCCUGGAGAGAAACAAGCACAAUAACAGGGAGCUUCUACAAAAAGCACAAGAGGAAUAAUUCUUCUCUGAGGGCCUGGUGCUGUAGAGCAUUUCGGUGGAAAAUCCAUCAACAUCUAAUUUGUUGAAUUGAUUUUGGGGUUGUGUGGAUGAGGGAUUAGGAGCAUGUUCAGAUAUAUAAACUAAUGAGCUGACUGCUGGGUAACACCUGAGAUCAAUACGGGCUGCUGCUCAUUUAACAAGUGCGUUUGCCCACUCUUGAACUGAAAGGUAUAGGUAUAUAAAAUUGCUGAAUUAUAGGAUGAAUAGCUCAAAGGUUCAGAAUGUCCAGUUAUAAAGAUUAGAAGACUUUGGGGUAUCUCAAUAUAUUGAGAUAUACUUGUUGUUACUGGAUUUAGUAUAAUAAUAACUGGACUGGUGGGAAAAGGGAUUAUUAAACUGACACUAAAAUGUAUUUGAUGUGUGUGGAGUCUGCUUCCUGGUAGCAGUACUGUCAUAAAAUACUAUCAUUUAAGA